GAUGAACGCUAGCGGCAGGCUAAAUACAUGCAAGUCGAGGGGCAGCACAGAUAGCAAUAUUGGGUGGCGACCGGCAAACGGGUGCGGAACACGUACACAACCUUCCUUUUAGUGUGGGAUAGCCCAGAGAAAUUUGGAUUAAUACCACAUAGUAUAUUGGAGUGGCAUCACUUUGAUAUUAAAGAUUUAUCGCUAAAAGAUGGGUGUGCGUAUGAUUAGGUAGUUGGUAGAGGUAACGGCUCACCAAGCCUUCGAUCAUUAACUGGUGUGAGAGCACGACCAGUCACACGGGCACUGAGACACGGGCCCGACUCCUACGGGAGGCAGCAGUAAGGAAUAUUGGUCAAUGGACGGAAGUCUGAACCAGCCAUGCCGCGUGAAGGAUGACGGCCCUCUGGGUUGUAAACUUCUUUUAUGUGGGACGAAAAAGGGCCAUUUUUGGUCAACUGACGGUACCAUAGGAAUAAGCACCGGCUAACUCCGUGCCAGCCGCCGCCCGUAA
rnacentral:rRNA from 1 species